rnacentral:tRNA from 1 species
GCGGACGUGGCCAAGUGGAUUAAGGCA